rnacentral:rRNA from 1 species
AUGUCGGCCGAGCAUGGCGCCGCGGCGGCGGACGGGGCUGGGGCGGAGCCUCCUCCCCCGGCGCCGAUGCCGGGGCUGGUGGCCUCGGCGGACGCGGCGGGGCAGAGGUCCCUGCCGACGCCGUUCCUGACCAAGACGUACCAGCUCGUGGAGGACCCGGCGGUGGACGACGUGAUCUCGUGGGGCGAGGACGGGUCGACGUUCGUGGUGUGGCGGCCGGCGGAGUUCGCCCGGGACCUGCUCCCCAAGUACUUCAAGCACAACAACUUCUCUAGCUUCGUGCGGCAGCUCAACACCUACGGAUUUAGGAAGAUCGUGCCGGACCGGUGGGAGUUCGCCAACGACUGCUUCCGGCGAGGCGAGAAGCGCCUGCUCUGCGACAUACACCGCCGGAAGGUGGUCCAGUCGGCGGGUCUUGCGGCUGCUGCUGCCGCCGCCGCGGCUGGCGCGGUCACGGUUGCCACUGCAGCGAUCCCUAUGGCGCUGCCGGUUACGCGCUCCGGCUCGCCGGAGCCGCAGCUGUCCUCCGAGGAGCAGGUUCUGUCGUCCAACUCGGGAUCCGCGGAGGAGCUCCCGCUGGCCGCACCGUCCGGCUCAGGCUCCGGCCUGGGCGGCGCCGCCGCGGGCUCCUCGUCCGGCGACAUGGGCGAGGAGAACGACCGGCUGCGGCGGGAUAACGCGCGGUUGACCCGCGAGCUGGGGCAGAUGAAAAAGCUGUGCAACAACAUCGUGAGCCUCAUGUCCAAGUUCGCCUCGAGCCAGCAGCCGGACGGCGGCCCCGGGUCGCUGUCGUCCGUAGUAAACUGCUCGGGUGAGUCGGCGCUGGCGCCUCCGCCGCCGCUCCCCGCGGGGAUACUGGACCUGAUGCCAUCCUGCUCGGCGCUGGCCACGGCCGCCGGCCUCGCCGUCGACGGCGGGCCGGAUACGGACGCGAGGCUGUUCGGCGUCUCCAUCGGGCUGAAGCGAGCGCGAGACGAGGAAGAAGGCGGCGACGGGGGGGAGCUUCCUAACAGCAACGACGACGGCGCGGACGUGAAGCCGGAGGAGGCAGCGGAGCGGCGGCCCGAGGGCGGCGGCAGCGAGGAGCGGCAGUCGUGGCCGAUAUACCGGCCCAAGCCCGUGUACCGGGCCUGCAACGGGCAGGACGGGGCCGGCUCCGGGUCAGACCAGGACAGAUCCAACUCGAGGUGA